AGGCUUAACACAUGCAAGUCGAGGGGUAGAGUUCUUCGGAAUUUGAGACCGGCGCACGGGUGCGUAACGCGUAUGCAAUCUGCCUUCCACAGAGGGAUAGCCCAGAGAAAUUUGGAUUAAUACCUCAUAGCAUUACAGGAUGGCAUCAUCCGGUAAUUAAAGUCACAACGGUGGAAGAUGAGCAUGCGUCCCAUUAGCUAGUUGGUAAGGUAACGGCUUACCAAGGCGACGAUGGGUAGGGGUCCUGAGAGGGAGAUCCCCCACACUGGUACUGAGACACGGACCAGACUCCUACGGGAGGCAGCAGUGAGGAAUAUUGGUCAAUGGGCGCAAGCCUGAACCAGCCAUGCCGCGUGCAGGAUGACGGUCCUAUGGAUUGUAAACUGCUUUUGUACGGGAAGAAACACUGAUUCGUGAAUCAGCCUGACGGUACCGUAAGAAUAAGGAUCGGCUAACUCCGUGCCAGCAGCCGCGGUAAUACGGAGGAUCCAAGCGUUAUCCGGAAUCAUUGGGUUUAAAGGGUCUGUAGGCGGUCUUGUAAGUCAGUGGUGAAAGCCCAUCGCUCAACGGUGGAACGGCCAUUGAUACUGCAGGACUUGAAUUACCGGGAAGUAACUAGAAUAUGUAGUGUAGCGGUGAAAUGCUUAGAUAUUACAUGGAAUACCAAUUGCGAAGGCAGGUUACUACCGGUGGAUUGACGCUGAUGGACGAAAGCGUGGGGAGCGAACAGGAUUAGAUA
rnacentral:rRNA from 1 species